AGGCCAACGCUCUAUCCACUGAGCCAAACCGGUUUGGUGUUCAAGGCUCUUUCCUAUCUCAAAGCUCACCCAGGCUCUGGGCAGAUUGCGCUGCCAGCACUCAUUUGCACAACCCUAACUUUGUGUUCCUGCCAAAACACAGCCUGCCUUUCCAGAUCCCACCCAGCUGCUGGAAUUACACUUAACAAGAAGAGGGUCCAGCAAUACUAACCCCCCAGGGGCAUUGGGCAAUGUCUGGAGACAUUUUUUGGUUGUCACAAUUGGGGGCAGGCAGGGUGCAAUAGGAAUCCAGCAGGUAGAGGGCAGGGAUGCUGCUAAACAUCCCAGGAUGCACAGGACGGCCCUGCAACAAAGAAUCAUCUGGCCAAAGUGCCAAGGUUGAGAAAUCUUGGGGUAGAGGAACAAGUGGCAAACCACUUAAGAAAAAAAUAGAGUGUGAUCUCAGAUCUCACUCCAAAGUCUGCUUCAAAUGGAUUAAAGACUAAAUAUAAUAAUAAAACUCAAUAUGUGAA